rnacentral:misc_RNA from 1 species
GUGAAUCAUCGAAUCUUUGAACGCAAAUUGCACUCAUUACGGAGAGUAUGGCUGUUUGUGGGUCAGCGUAAAAAAAAUCGACAUCGUUGAGGUUUCGGGUUGGCGUUUGUCGGUACUUGGGUUAUCUUAAACCUUUGGUUUAAGCGACUUAAAAUUUUCUUUACGAUUUGAUGAUUGUUUCUAAGAGUUUGUUCUUUACUAGGUUAUGGUAUCGAUACUAUUAGGCGUGG